rnacentral:lncRNA from 1 species
UCCAGUCAAGAGCACAGGCUUCAAGGAGUCGUACAUUCCGAAGUACAAACCACGGUACACAAUGAUACCAACACAUGAAAUGUUGAACCCACGGUACAAUCCAGCAAUUCCAUCAGAUGCAAGUGUCUUCUUGUAGACAUCGACCAAACCGUUGAACUGUCUCCCACCUCCUUUCUUUGCAGCCUUGGCAUCAUUUGCAAGACGAGUACGAGCAUAGUCAAGGGAGUAAACAAAGAGCAAAGAAGAAGCACCAGCAGAUGCAAGAGUCUUCUUGUAGACAUCGACCAAACCGUUGAACUGUCUCCCACCUCCUUUCUUUGCAGCCUUGGCAUCAUUUGCAAGACGAGUACGAGCAUAGUCAAGGGAGUAAACAAAGAGCAAAGAAG